UACGAGGGGGGCGAGCGUUGUUCGGAAUUAUUGGGCGUAAAGGGUGCGUAGGCGGUUUGGUAAGUCUUAUGUGAAAUCUACAGGCUCAACUUGUAGUCUGCAUGAGAAACUGCCGGGCUUGAGUAUGGGAGAGGUGAGUGGAAUUCCUGGUGUAGCGGUGAAAUGCGUAGAUAUCAGGAGGAAUACCAAAGGCGAAGGCAGUGUCCUGGAGGGUUAACUGACGCUGAGGCGCGAAAGCUAGGGGAGCGAACAGG
rnacentral:rRNA from 1 species